CAAAUCACAUUCUUCACAAAUUGAAAUCCCUAAAAGAAGAAGGAACAGCGUCGUCUUCCCUCUCCGUCGCCGCUCGUCUCCGGCGAUCACAGUACCGUCGCCGGACACCGGUCCCUUUCUCCGUCGAGCUUUAUCUCUAUCGAACUCCCUCUUCUUCUGACAGAGACGGAACCUCUCUCCACCUCUCGCUUUCUCCAGCGAUUUCACCGAUGGGGAAGAAGGCGUCGCCUUUCCCUUCCGCCGGUUCCUCUCACUCUCGCUCGGAGAGCUCACGGCACCGCCGCCGACGUUUCUCGCCGUCCGCCGUCCGCCGCUCGCCGAAUUUCCGUCGCUGCUGCCAGCGCCCUGCAUCAGCUCUCUGCGUCGAGCUUUCCGCCGAGCUUUCCCUCCGGCAAGCAGUGCUGCUGCGUGCGCUCUCCCCAGCUCCCUCUAACGGGAUCUCCGUCGUCGCUCGACCAUGGUCGGACAGCUUCUCGAUCAGCCUAAAGCUAAGUUCUUUAACUUCCAUUAUCUAGUUAGUAUCUUGAGUUCCUCUUUGGGCAGUAGCUUUGUGGUAUUAAAGUCUCUUGAAAUUGAUUGUUGGUGAAACCUUGGUGCAUCUUUAGGCAUUGAAUUAGCUAAGGCAGCUUAUGAUCGAUUCUUAUUUUAUCUUAUGAUGAAAGAUCUCUAAAGCUCUAAGUUCUUGAGCUUAACAUGGAAAUUCUAUUCUUUGCUACUGUUGAGGCUUCUAAAUUUUCUAAGUUCCUGCCUAAUCAUGGGAUUCUAUCAUGAUGCAGAGGAUGGUGUUGGGGUGUUGAGGUAUUUACCUCACUCGGUUCAUCCUCGGUUUAUGCGGCUGUUCCUCCGCUUUGCCGCUGCCUCUCCUCGCCUUCUUGCUCCUCUCAUUUCCUUCUGCACUCCUUGAUUUUGAGUGAAUUUGUGGUGUCUAAAGGAGAGGGGAGAGGAAGGCUGCUUAUAUAGUCCUCUUGUGUUGGAAACUUGGGGACAAAGACUCCCAUAUUUGGCUGCCAGCUCCAUCUCUUUCUUGGCAUCAUGCUUCUUUACUUAAUUGAGCAAGUCUUGGGGGCAAAGACUCCUAUUUUUGGGGCUGCCAGCUUAUCUCUUCCUUGUGUUUAUCCAAUUGUAUACCAUUUUGGUGUACAAGGCUGGAAUCUUUGGAGUCUUAUGGGGAGCAUUUUCUCGAGAAACAUGGGGGAGAAAAGAGAAGGAACCUUCGAGAUCUUUGCUAGCAAUUGUCUUGUUCAAUUCUUCUUUUGGCUAUCUCUUAAAUUUCUAAGCUAGAGAUAGAUAUAGUUGUACUCUCAUUUUCAUGUAAUAUUAGACAUUGGAGCCCCUAAAGUAGAAGUGUAAGCAUGUACUAUUUCUAUUUAAAUUCCUCCACACAUUUAUUUAAUAAAAGCAUAGCCCUUACUUUUA